UGUCUCAUCUUCACUUUUUUCUCACACACACCCACAUACCAUCCUCAGUGGUGGCAAGCAGUGGCCCAUCCAGCCUGUUGCGUUCUCUCCUCUCAGCGGAGAUCAAUCACAUGAUUUGAUAGUUUUUAUACUAGAGGGGAGGCAGGAAUCUUCAUAGCGGCGGAUACGGGCAGCUCCAAAACUUCUCAUCCACUAGAAGAGGAAAAGCUCUCACAGCGCCCUUUGCUCUGCAGUGCUUUCUCCAGAUAAGGACUUCUAAACACACUCCCAUGGCAGAUGCAGGGAAUCUUAAACAUGCAUAACCAGACUUGUAAGCUCCUUGGAGAGAGACAUAUAACUCAGAGUGUGGGUGCAAGUGUGUGUGUUAAAAGAAGAACAGGAAGAGAUAGUCCUGCUAAGCCAUAACAGUCACGUUGCCACCGCAGCGCAGCGUUAGCACCGUGGCUGAUGCCUGAGUCUGUGCCAGCAAACAUCCAUCAAAGAGCCCUGUAUACAGGCCAGGCCCCAGCUACAGCCAACCUCAAGGAUUUUACCAGUGUUUUAACAGCCUGGCCACCUCUCCUCACAGCUAUUAUCACUGGAUUCCUGUGGGCUAGUUUCAAGAACUGUUUUCCUUCAGUUAGUUUGCUUUUGUGUUGUGAACAAUGAACUUGGUAUUUGGGUCAAACAACAACCAUACAGUUGUUUCGUCAAUAUACAGUAGCGCAUUCUCUAAUAUGUAGGUGUGUGGGUGUUUGGGAGUGUAUGUUAAGCUUUGUGUAAAGGAGGUUAAUGACAUGGAGACAUAACUCACCACACUGAUAGACCGUAGCUCCCAGCUCUUCCGUGGUUAAAAUCACACGGCACCUAUUUUUGGCGCCCGUCUGAGUGACAGCAUGACCCCUAAACCCUGACCUUUACACAGCGUGACCUCCACAGCCCAAUAAUGGAGACAGGAAGGUAUUAGGGUUGGGGAAGAGAGCGGAGGGGUUGAAUGGGUGCACGGGGUCAAGCCCAAAAUGAUGCACUCGGAACGGACGGCGGAGAAGAAGGCCGCUGUGUUCCCCGUCACACAAUAAGGCCUCAGUUAUUGGUCUAUAAUUUGGCCAAUUGAUUACCCCAAUAAUUGUUACCAUAAUGAGCUGGUGUGGAUAGCUGGCUGUUAGUCGGCUUGUUUGCAUUUUUGUACCGGAAUGACUCCAUGUGAAACAUUGCAGAAGUGUGCAUGUUGCAGCAGCAUGUUUAUAAAGGCACCUGUCACUAAUACGCCAUUGCAUGAUAAAAUGAAUCCUCCUGCACACCC